CAACCCUCAAGCCUGGCUUGGUGUUGGGGCUCUGCGUCUGCAGUCCCUUAAAUCCAGUGGCGGACACGCUAGGUCUCCGAGCGCAGUAGUUUCUUCUCGCUCAGGACGGCCGGCGUGGGCUUGCCUCGCACCCAUCUUAUCAA
rnacentral:misc_RNA from 1 species